rnacentral:rRNA from 1 species
AUUGAACGCUGGCGGCAGGCCUAACACAUGCAAGUCGAACGGUAACAGGAAGCAGCUUGCUGCUUUGCUGACGAGUGGCGGACGGGUGAGUAAUGUCUGGGAAACUGCCUGAUGUAGGGGGAUAACUACUGGAAACGGUAGCUAAUACCGCAUAACGUCGCAAGACCAAAGAGGGGGACCUUCGGGCCUCUUGCCAUCGGAUGUGCCCAGAUGGGAUUAGCUAGUAGGUGGGGUAACGGCUCACCUAGGCGACGAUCCCUAGCUGGUCUGAGAGGAUGACCAGCCACACUGGAACUGAGACACGGUCCAGACUCCUACGGGAGGCAGCAGUGGGGAAUAUUGCACAAUGGGCGCAAGCCUGAUGCAGCCAUGCCGCGUGUAUGAAGAAGGCCUUCGGGUUGUAAAGUACUUUCAGCGGGGAGGAAGGGAGUAAAGUUAAUACCUUUGCUCAUUGACGUUACCCGCAGAAGAAGCACCGGCUAACUCCGUG